rnacentral:rRNA from 1 species
CCUACGGGUGGCAGCAGUGAGGAAUAUUGGUCAAUGGACGAGAGUCUGAACCAGCCAAGUAGCGUGAAGGAUGACUGCCCUAUGGGUUGUAAACUUCUUUUAUAUGGGAAUAAAAUGUUCCACGUGUGGGCUUUUGUAUGUAUCAUAUGAGUAAGGAUCGGCAAACUCCGUGCCAGCAGCCGCGGUAAUACGGAGGAUCUGAGGGUUAUCCGGAUUUAUUGGGUUUAAGGGGUGGGUAGGCGGACUGUUAUGUCCGCGGUAAAAGCCCGGGGCUCAACCCCGGCGAGCAGUUGAAACUGGCUGUCUUGAGAGGGCGAGAGGUAUGCGGAAUUCGCGGUGUAGCGGUGAAAUGCUUAGAGAUUGCGCAGAACGCCGAUUGCGAAGGCAGCAUACCGGCGGCGAUCUGACGCUGAGGCACGAAAGCGUGGGUAUCGAACAGGAUUAGAUACCCUGGUAGUC